rnacentral:rRNA from 1 species
GCCCGUCACACCAUGGGAGCCGGAAACGCCCGAAGUCAGUGGCCCAACCGGAAGGAGGGAGCUGCCGAAGGCAGGGCUGGUAACUGGGGUGAAGUCGUAACAAGGUAGC